rnacentral:rRNA from 1 species
GACGAACGCUGGCGGCGUGCUUAACACAUGCAAGUCGAACGGAAAGGCCCUGCUUUUGUGGGGUGCUCGAGUGGCGAACGGGUGAGUAACACGUGAGUAACCUGCCCUUGACUUUGGGAUAACUUCAGGAAACUGGGGCUAAUACCGGAUAGGAGCUCCUGCUGCAUGGUGGUGGUUGGAAAGUUUCGGCGGUUGGGGAUGGACUCGCGGCUUAUCAGCUUGUUGGUGGGGUAGUGGCUUACCAAGGCUUUGACGGGUAGCCGGCCUGAGAGGGUGACCGGCCACAUGGGGACUGAGAUACGGCCCAGACUCCUACGGGAGGCAGCAGUGGGGAAUAUUGCACAAUGGGCGGAAGCCUGAUGCAGCAACGCCGCGUGCGGGAUGACGGCCUUCGGGUUGUAAACCGCUUUCGCCUGUGACGAAGCGUGAGUGACGGUAAUGGGUAAAGAAGCACCGGCUAACUACGUG